UGCAAAGCGCCGCAUUACACGCUCUCGUCGCGAGAGUGAUCACUAAUAAGCGCGCGAGAGCCGCUGUUUAAACUUCAACGGUUCAUGGUACGCUGACUCUGCUCAGCGCUCAGGAGAACUACGAUUACAAUGAUGUUCCUCUAUAAUAAAGAGCACUUUUAAAGUUUUACAACCACCUUAUCAGCGUGCUGAAAAGUGGAAGUCAGAGGAAACAUGACCAACUUGUUACAACACAACACAGAAGGUCUGGACUAUGGAGUGCAGCAUUACUUGUUUGGUCAUCUACAUUCAGAUGAAAACACCACACUCCUCUCUAACUCAAGAUUUAAUGAAGGGUCAGAGGAAGAGUUUGCAAGAUGAGCGAGAAGGAAUUUCUGGAAAGGUCCGGGCAUUGAAGUCUCACCUCUCUACAGCUGUCAGCGGUUGUUACGGUAACAGUAGGCAAGUGGACCAGAGUUAACUAGACUGAAGGGCCAUGAUGUGUGUGUGUGUGUGUGUGUGUGCAUCUCACAUGUAAUGCAAGAGCAUCACCUUUCAUACUAUUGAAUUUUACUACGCUUAACCCACCCAUGAUUGCAUUUUCAUGUGAUUAACAUCUAUUAUCCUGAUGGUGUAAACCUUUAGUCGGUUCUCUAUCUCUACACGCUUUUUUUUCCUCAUCUGAGCGCUCUGAAGCAGGGGUGGGCUGGGUAACGAACUGUAGGCUGAAUUGAUUGAAAAAUUGAUUUUCUAUUUUCAUCCAGUUGAGAAGCAGCUUUAAUUUAUUUAAAAACGGCAUGUAAUUACACCUGCGUGGGGAGGACAUGUUGCUGUGCAUGUGUGUUUUUUGUCUGUGUGUGUGUGUUUGAGAGAGAUAGAAAGCGCGGACUGACCACAGACAUGUAAUUGUAAUUUCCUGUUUUCAAUUGCCUUUUCUCUCUUAUUUAAAAGCCGACAUCACACAACUGUGUAAAAAAAGUGGUUAAUGGACAGAACUGUCUGUCCUGUGACUUCUUUCAUACUGAAUCUGUAUUUCAACUUUUUUUUGUAGUAUCAUUCCUAAAUAGGCGAUAUAUUCCAAGCACAUUUGAAAUCUCACAUUCAAUAUAAAACUGGUUUACCUAGCUGUAUUGAACCCUGU
ensembl:lncRNA